GAAGGACAAGAUCCUGAGCCUUGAGCUGAUGGGCGUUGACUACGGGCGCGCGCUGGAGCUGAACCCGGCGCUCCGCGACGCGGCGCCGGAGUCCAUCCACGCGGUGGUGUCGUUCCUCCAGUCCCGGGGGCUCCAGUUCAAGGACCUCGGCCGCGUCUUCGGCAUGUGCCCGUCCGUGCUCACCGCCAGCGUCCGUGCCCACCUCCGCCCCAUCUUUGCCUUCCUCUCCGACGACCUCGGCGUGCCGGAGGCCGCGCACCGCCGCGUCGUGAUCAAGUGCCCGCGCGUGCUCGCCUGCAGCGUCCGCGACCAGCUCCGCCCGGCCCUCAUC
rnacentral:lncRNA from 1 species